GAGGGCAUGUGUGUAGCGCGUGAAGAGAACAAGGUAGCUAAACGGAGAAGUAAAUAAAAAUAGGACACGUGGCAGUGAGGGUGAUGCCCCGUUAUGCUCUGUGCCGGAACUCCGCAGUGCCGCGCUUUCUUUUUUUCUUUUUUAAUUAUUUAUUUUUAUUUUUAUUUCUCGUCUCUACAAAUAUAGAAGUCUCAUUUAACUAACUCAUUUCGGAUCAUUCAUAAAUCAUAAUCUUAUUUCAUUUUUACGUUUCACGAAUUUAAUUUCAGCAUAAAAGAUUGCAUGUAGCGUAUAUGGCGUAUGAGAUGACGUAAACCCUUGUGUUAUGCAAUAUAAGAUUUUAUUGACAAUUUAAAAAGAAUUAUUUCAUCCGUCUCAUUUCACUUGACCUAGUACUUUUCAACAUAAUUGUAAAGAAGAGUAAGAUAUAGUAUAAAGUAUGUGGGCCUCCUAUCUGUUAUAGUGAAAAUUUGUUACUAAAAAUGAAAC
rnacentral:lncRNA from 1 species